rnacentral:rRNA from 1 species
AGCGGCAGGCUUAACACAUGCAAGUCGAGGGGCAGCGGGGAGGAAGCUUGCUUUCUCCGCCGGCGACCGGCGCACGGGUGAGUAACACGUAUGCAACCUGCCCCUGUCAGGGGGACAACCCGCCGAAAGGCGGGCUAAACCCGCGUACAUGCCACCGGGGCAUCCCGGAGGCAGGAAAGGCUUCGGCCGGACAGGGAUGGGCAUGCGGCGCAUUAGGCAGUAGGCGGGGUAACGGCCCACCUAACCGACGAUGCGUAGGGGUUCUGAGAGGAAGGUCCCCCACACUGGUACUGAGACACGGACCAGACUCCUACGGGAGGCAGCAGUGAGGAAUAUUGGUCAAUGGUCGGGAGACUGAACCAGCCAAGCCGCGUGAGGGAGGAAGGUACAGAGUAUCGUAAACCUCUUUUGUCAGGGAACAAAGGCGGGGACGUGUCCCCGGAUGAGUGUACCUGAAGAAAAAGCAUCGGCUAACUCCGUGCCAGCAGCCGCGGUAAUACGGAGGAUGCGAGCGUUAUCCGGAUUUAUUGGGUUUAAAGGGUGCGCAGGCGGUCUGUUAAGUCAGCGGUCAAAGCCCGGGGCUCAACCCCGGCCCGCCGUUGAAACUGGCAGUCUCGAGUUGGAGAGAAGUAUGCGGAAUGCGCGGUGUAGCGGUGAAAUGCAUAGAUAUCGCGCAGAACUCCGAUUGCGAAGGCAGCAUGCCGGCUCCACACUGACGCUGAGGCACGAAAGCGUGGGUAUCGAACAGGAUUAGAUACCCUGGUAGUCCACGCAGUAAACGAUGAAUGCUGGCUGUCCGGGGGGACUGACCCCUGGGUGGCGAAGCGAAAGCGAUAAGCAUUCCACCUGGGGAGUACGCCGGCAACGGUGAAACUCAAAGGAAUUGACGGGGGCCCGCACAAGCGGAGGAACAUGUGGUUUAAUUCGAUGAUACGCGAGGAACCUUACCCGGGCUCAAACGGGGAGUGGCGCAGGCAGAGACGCCUGUUUCCCACGGGACACUCCCCGAGGUGCUGCAUGGUUGUCGUCAGCUCGUGCCGUGAGGUGUCGGCUUAAGUGCCAUAACGAGCGCAACCCCCGCGUGCAGUUGCUAACAGUCAACGCUGAGGACUCUGCACGGACUGCCGGCGCAAGCCGCGAGGAAGGCGGGGAUGACGUCAAAUCAGCACGGCCCUUACGUCCGGGGCGACACACGUGUUACAAUGGGUGGUACAGCGGGAAGCCAGGCGGCGACGCCGAGCGGAACCCGAAAUCCACUCUCAGUUCGGAUCGGAGUCUGCAACCCGACUCCGUGAAGCUGGAUUCGCUAGUAAUCGCGCAUCAGCCAUGGCGCGGUGAAUACGUUCCCGGGCCU